AGUACUACAAUGAUGAAAACAUUUUAUUCAUAUACAGUUAUCCCUGUCUGAAUGGGUAUUUUAAUAUAAUAGGUAACAUCCAUAUGUCGAUAAUAUAUGUUCUGAAAGUGUA
rnacentral:snoRNA from 1 species